rnacentral:lncRNA from 1 species
GGUCCUCUAGGCUCAGUGUUAAAUGUUACUUCUUCUAGGAAGCCUUUCCAGACCAUCCACCUCUAGUCUGGGUUGGCUGCUUUUGCUUUGUGCUCCAUGGCACUCUCUAGGUUCCUUUACCCACUAUCCUGUAAUUGCUUGUUUCACUGUCCAGAAUCGCUCAUAAACUCCAUGAGGGCAGGACUUGCAUUUAUGUUUGUCACUACUAUAUCCCCAGAGCCCGGCACAAUGCUUGGUGAGUGUUUUGGUAAUGACUGAAUGUGGAAAGGAAUGGUUUCUAGGGAAACAUGAUGAUCCAGCUCUGUCGGAGGCACGGAGGCACAGUCAAAUCUCAUGCUGUACAUUGAUCACCUGUCCAACCUUUGCCUAGAGUGGGAGCCCCCAGUUCCUUCAAGAGAUCCAACUUUACCUGUCUGUAAAGAAGAAGAGGAGGAGGGAGACAGCAGGGAGGAUCCGGUGGCAGUUUAACACCAGAGCAGGUCCAAUGUUUACUCUUACCCUUUUGGAGGUGGGUAACUGCAAAUGCCAUGGGAGCUGGGUUUCAGAUACUCUGAAUAAUGAUCUCAGAUUUGGGGGCUCACAUGUGCUUUGUGUUUUGCUAGAGUAUAGAGGUUGCUGUUUUCAUGUUUAAUUCAUAGCCAGACUGUUCCGUGAUUCCCAUUAGAAUAAAACAAGAAUCCAGGUUCAUCAUUAACAUGAUGUCUGUGGUCCAUUGGCCUUGAGUUUUUUGUGUCUUGCUGUGUGGACAGAGUAGAGUUCAUUCAUUGGUUCCUAUUUCAUGAUUAUUAUAUUUAUCAUUUGCUUUUCAAGGUCUGUGACUUUCAACAGCCUUUCUUAUUUUGAAACUCUGAAUUUUGAUGUUUUGAAUCCCUCCCUCCUUGGUCAUUCUCUUAGACCAUGAGAUUCCGAAUAACUACUGAACAGACAAGAUUUCAUUUAGGGCUACCCCUUGGUGUGUAAGUCUAGUUCUACACAAUCCUGGGCUAUGUCUAGCCAGCCUUUUCCCUAAGCAGAAUAUGACUCUAUGACCUUGUAGGCCUCAGGCAAAAAGGCUUCCUAGUGAACCUCUACCCACCCCCAAUACCCCAGACCAUCCCUAAGUGUGGACUGCAUGUUGUUGGUUGGGCCAUGAUAGGAACUUCUGAGUGGAUGGAUGUAUGCACAUGGAAACCGCAGCCUCACAUGUAGAGGGGCAGAGUAAACCCUCACACCCUGGGUGCUUCUUGCUUAGUGGUUUGUGCCAACAGUCCUAGGUCUGAAGCAUAUUCUUCCUCAACCUCUUCUUAUAGUCGCUGUUUUCACCAAAUGCUGUGUAUGUGCUUUGGGCCAGGGUUAGCUUUAUUCCUGAAUCCAAGGAAAGUUUAGUUUAAUUUUCAGUUUUGGAAUAGCACCAACAGAUGCCUCACCGCUUCAUAUCCUUUAUAGACUGAGCAGAUAAUUACUGCCUACACAAAUAAAUCACAUACUUUUGCAAAAAAAAAAAUCUUUGAAUGACAUUUGAUUUAUAAUUAAACUUGGCGAUGCGGUCUCUGAAGUGUCUCAUCUUGUCUAAUCACAAUGAUCUAUUUCCUUUCAGAGUAAUUAUGGAUAUAGGGGUUAGUCCUCUUGUUAUCACCUUAUAAUAUGGUGAAGGGAAUAAUUUAAUAAAAGAAAAAGAAAAAUUAGAAUAAAUGAUUGUCGGUUUGGGUCAAACUCAAACCACUGGUUGUUUCUAUUUGUUUUGUUUGAAAAAUAUUUUUAUGUCCCUUCUUUGACUGAUAUAUUCAGUAAACAGAUUUAAAUAUUGGCAUCUAAUUGCCCUGCCUGGACCAGCAACCUGCUUCCCAGACCAAGGAACUUGUUAGAAAUGUACAGCCUUAGGCCCCACCCAGACCUACUGAGUUAGAAACUCUGCAGGUGGGGUCCAGCACAGUGCAUUUGAAUGAGCUUCCUGGUGAUUCUUCUGCACGCAAAAGUUUGAGAACUUUUGGUUUAAAACUUAUGUAAGUGCAUGAGAUGUGGGUAUUAAUAGGAGUUUACGUCUAGACCUUUCAUCCAGGAGCUCAUGAUCAAGUCAUCGGCACAAAGCAUAAAUUCAUCAGACAGGCAGAAUGAUCUUUAUAAAAUGUAAAUUACAUCAUACACUCACUUCCUAAGUCCCUCCAGGCAGUUCUCUUUGUACCCAAAAUAAAUAGAAAUCCUUGGCUAAGGCCUUGAAGGUCUGACAUGCUCCCUCUCCUGUCUACCUGCCCAGCUCAUCUGGUGCUACUCCCACCCUCCCCGAGUGCUCUCUCACUGGUCUUCUUUCUGGUCCUCAAACUUGCCCUGGUCCUGUGCUGUCAGCAGGAAUGUAGAGGAAGAGGGAGGAAGAGAGAAUUACAAAGGUUAAAAAACAGGCUUGGUUACCAAAGUGUUAUUUGGCACAAUAUUUCUAAACCAAUGUCCCCGCUGGUUAAUAUAUUAAUAUGCUGAUACUUAGAUACAUUGACUCAAUAGUAUGCUAAAGUGAUAAUACUACUUGUGGCCCCAUCUUAUAGUGGAGUAGGGUCUGAAAGGAUUCUGCAUCAUUAAGGAAAUAUUCAGUGUAGUUUAGUGUAACCGUAGUGUCAAGUAUUUGUAUCAAUUUCUCUUUCUGCGAGUUGGCUGGGCAGGCACAGUGCUCAGCCACAUACCACACAUGGGAGCUGAAUAAACGUGAAGAUACCAGAUGCUAAAUAUGAAAUCAUCUGUGUGGCACCAGAACAUUGGUGGAACCAAUGUGUGCAUCUUGCUGUCUUAGCGUAGUUUUAGGAAAGAGUGUGAUCAUGUUUGUUAGGUUUUAUCUUUGUAAAAAAUUAUCUGUGAAUGCCAAUUUUGAUCUGUGGGAUAUUAAAUGUACCAUGUGAUUUGGGAACAAAGCAGCUGUUUAAAUUUUUAUUGAAUGUGAAAAAAAUGGUCUCUCAAGACUCUCUCCAUAACAAGAAAGCAGAAACAUAUAUUUUAAAUAUGAUUUGUCAAAAAAAAAAAAUCUCAAAACUUAAAUUUGAGGCAAAGGAAUUCUUUUUUUUUUUUUUUUUUUUUUUUUUUUUUNNNNNNNNNNNNNNNNNNNNNNNNNNNNNNNNNNNNNNNNNNUCCGAACCGUGUCUGCAACCUACACCACAGCUCACGGCAAUGCCGGAUCCUUAACCCACUGAGCAAGGGCAGGGACCGAACCCGCAACCUCAUGGUUCCUAGUCGGAUUCGUUAACCACUGUGCCACGACGGGAACUCCGAGGCAAAGGAAUUCUUAAAGAUUUAGGACUACUACAGCCAAGAACAGGGCCAAUUGUUUUUUUGUUUUGUUUUGUUUUGUUUUGUUUGUUUUUGUCUUGAUUUUGUUUUCACUCUCUACAGCUUUCACGGUAACACGCUAAUUUAUUUUAUAAGUGUAGCAUCUCUGGUUUGGGGCAUUACUUGCUUUUAAGAGAGCUUGUCAUUUUAGAUCUUUGGAAGAAGAGGAAAAGGUUGGUUGGAGGGGCCAGCAAAAAGAGUGGGUGGUGGAGGUAUGCCUGGUCCUGGUGGCCUUUCAUCUUCAUCUUGACUUCUAAAGUUUAAGGUUCUUCCAGGAAACAGGCAAGCUUCCUCACUGUGUAAGUUCCCUGGCCAGGAAGCCCUUCCUAUUGAAAGGCAAAGCUAGUCUGCUGUAGGUGACUGGGGAUGCACCAUGAAUGCCCUGACCCUGUCCUCAUGGAGCCAUAGCCCAGCAAAUAUCUAUAUGAAUAAAGGUGCAUCUUCACACUUUGAAAGGCAGUGUGUGGGAUGAGGCUAUGAGAACAGAGAAGGAGGCCCUCGCUUCUUUUUGGAUACACAGUUGAAGCUGAGAAUCGAAGGAUGAUCGGUUGUUCAUUCAGUUGUGUUGUGAGGUUGGGAGUGAGGAGGAGUGUCCCUGGGGAGCUGGGACUCUGCCUAGAGGCUGCCACAGCAGAGAAUCUUCUGAGCAACCAUAUGGGUGAAAACACCCAAAGACUCACUGCAGAGUGAACCCCAGGGGAGAACAUCUUGCCUCAGAGACUGAGAUUUCCCACUGUCCACCAACAGUCCCAAUACCACUGUGCCCAGGUAUGAGGCCAGCACCUCGGCAUUUAUUUCUCUUCCUUUUGUUGGCUUCUCCAACUCUCUCAGAGCCUCUAUUCUGAGAUUCUUCCUUUUGGGAGCAGCCCCUUUGUUCCUUAAGAACAAAGCUUCCUGGAGGGAACAUUUACCAUACCCUCCAAGCUUCUUGAGUGGCUUUUAGGGAGGCAUUUUAAGCAUCUUCAGAGAAUCUUACUGGUUAUGGCCAACAGCUCCUAGGAGUAGGGAACUAUCCACACCCACUGCCUUCUUGACCCAGAGUCAUUAUUAACUGUCCCAUCCAUUCUAAGCAGGACACAGUUGGAGGGCAGAUUCUCUUUCUGGUUUUGUCUGCUGCCUAAUAAGCUAACUUUGCUUAGAUCUGGCAUUCAGAAAUUGCUGACAAAUGAAAGAAGAGAUUGUACAAAUCCAAAUGGCCAUGCAUUGCUGAGGCUUGAUUUUAGGAGUAUGAAAUAAAAUUGCUAUCUGCUUCAUUCAUUUCAUCCACCCAUCCAAAAGCAGUUUUGAGGACUUCCUGUGUCAUUGUGCAGCCGAAACACAGUGCCUGGCACAUGGUGUGUUUAUGGGUGAUGCUGGCUAUUGUAGAGGAAAUGCAAAGCUAACUCUGACUUCUGAAUCCCUUUGUGAUUUUGUCCCACUUGAGUUUUGCGAGAGCCCCAGCUGUUCCUCCUCCUGUCAUUUAGCAGUAAUAGUCCAGGGUCCCAGCCUCUGAAGGUGUCUGCUUCUCCUCAGGGAGGCAGAGCUUGGCCAUAGGAGAGAACUUGUGGCACGAGUUCUGAUUUUAGAGUGCCGAAGGACAGCUCACUUGUUGUCUGUGCAGCGCCUGGGUGAGCACAAAAUGACAAGGAGUGGUUAAACUUCAGGGAGGUCUGGGUAGCUUUAAAAAGUAG